UACAGAGGGUGCAAGCGUUAAUCGGAGUUACUGGGCGUAAAGGGCGCGUAGGCGGUAAGAUGUGUGUGAUGUGAAAGCCCCGGGCUUAACCUGGGAAGUGCAUCGCAAACUAUCUGACUGGAGUAUAUGAGAGGGUGGCGGAAUUUCCGGUGUAGCGGUGAAAUGCGUAGAGAUCGGAAGGAACGUCGAUGGCGAAGGCAGCCACCUGGCAUAAUACUGACGCUGAAGCGCGAAAGCGUGGGGAGCGAACAGG
rnacentral:rRNA from 1 species